rnacentral:rRNA from 1 species
UACGUAGGGUGCAAGCGUUAAUCGGAAUUACUGGGCGUAAAGCGCACGUAGGCGGCUCUGUAAGUUAGAGGUGAAAGCCCAGGGCUCAACCCUGGAAUUGCCUUUAAGACUGCAUCGCUUGAACAUCGGAGAGGUAAGUGGAAUUCCGAGUGUAGAGGUGAAAUUCGUAGAUAUUCGGAAGAACACCAGUGGCGAAGGCGACUUACUGGACGAUUGUUGACGCUGAGGUGCGAAAGCGUGGGGAGCGAACAGG